AGAUCGGACCAGCAGGCCA
rnacentral:snRNA from 1 species